rnacentral:rRNA from 1 species
UGGGGAAUUUUGGACAAUGGGCGCAAGCCUGAUCCAGCCAUGCCGCGUGAGUGAAGAAGGCCUUCGGGUUGUAAAGCUCUUUCAGCCGGAAAGAAAACGCACAGGUUAAUAACCCGUGCGGAUGACGGUACCGGAAGAAGAAGCACCGGCUAACUACGUGCCAGCAGCCGCGGUAAUACGUAGGGUGCGAGCGUUAAUCGGAAUUACUGGGCGUAAAGCGUGCGCAGGCGGUUUUGUAAGACAGAUGUGAAAUCCCCGGGCUUAACCUGGGAACUGCAUUUGUAACUGCAAGGCUAGAGUACGGCAGAGGGGGGUAGAAUUCCACGUGUAGCAGUGAAAUGCGUAGAUAUGUGGAGGAAUACCGAUGGCGAAGGCAGCCCCCUGGGUCGAUACUGACGCUCAUGCACGAAAGCGUGGGGAGCAAACA